AGAGUUUGAUCAUGGCUCAGAUUGAACGCUGGCGGCAGGCCUAACACAUGCAAGUCGAGCGGUAGCACAGAGAGCUUGCUCUCGGGUGACGAGCGGCGGACGGGUGAGUAAUGUCUGGGAAACUGCCUGAUGGAGGGGGAUAACUACUGGAAACGGUAGCUAAUACCGCAUAACGUCGCAAGACCAAAGUGGGGGACCUUCGGGCCUCAUGCCAUCAGAUGUGCCCAGAUGGGAUUAGCUGGUAGGUGGGGUAACGGCUCACCUAGGCGACGAUCCCUAGCUGGUCUGAGAGGAUGACCAGCCACACUGGAACUGAGACACGGUCCAGACUCCUACGGGAGGCAGCAGUGGGGAAUAUUGCACAAUGGGCGCAAGCCUGAUGCAGCCAUGCCGCGUGUGUGAAGAAGGCCUUCGGGUUGUAAAGCACUUUCAGCGGGGAGGAAGGCGGUGAGGUUAAUAACCUCAUCGAUUGACGUUACCCGCAGAAGAAGCACCGGCUAACUCCGUGCCAGCAGCCGCGGUAAUACGGAGGGUGCAAGCGUUAAUCGGAAUUACUGGGCGUAAAGCGCACGCAGGCGGUCUGUCAAGUCGGAUGUGAAAUCCCCGGGCUCAACCUGGGAACUGCAUUCGAAACUGGCAGGCUAGAGUCUUGUAGAGGGGGGUAGAAUUCCAGGUGUAGCGGUGAAAUGCGUAGAGAUCUGGAGGAAUACCGGUGGCGAAGGCGGCCCCCUGGACAAAGACUGACGCUCAGGUGCGAAAGCGUGGGGAGCAAACAGGAUUAGAUACCCUGGUAGUCCACGCUGUAAACGAUGUCGAUUUGGAGGUUGUGCCCUUGAGGCGUGGCUUCCGGAGCUAACGCGUUAAAUCGACCGCCUGGGGAGUACGGCCGCAAGGUUAAAACUCAAAUGAAUUGACGGGGGCCCGCACAAGCGGUGGAGCAUGUGGUUUAAUUCGAUGCAACGCGAAGAACCUUACCUGGUCUUGACAUCCACAGAACUUUCCAGAGAUGGAUUGGUGCCUUCGGGAACUGUGAGACAGGUGCUGCAUGGCUGUCGUCAGCUCGUGUUGUGAAAUGUUGGGUUAAGUCCCGCAACGAGCGCAACCCUUAUCCUUUGUUGCCAGCGGUCCGGCCGGGAACUCAAAGGAGACUGCCAGUGAUAAACUGGAGGAAGGUGGGGAUGACGUCAAGUCAUCAUGGCCCUUACGACCAGGGCUACACACGUGCUACAAUGGCAUAUACAAAGAGAAGCGACCUCGCGAGAGCAAGCGGACCUCAUAAAGUAUGUCGUAGUCCGGAUUGGAGUCUGCAACUCGACUCCAUGAAGUCGGAAUCGCUAGUAAUCGUAGAUCAGAAUGCUACGGUGAAUACGUUCCCGGGCCUUGUACACACCGCCCGUCACACCAUGGGAGUGGGUUGCAAAAGAAGUAGGUAGCUUAACCUUCGGGAGGGCGCUUACCACUUUGUGAUUCAUGACUGGGGUGAAGUCGUAACAAGGUAACCGUAGGGGAACCUGCGGUUGGAUCACCUCCUU
rnacentral:rRNA from 1 species